rnacentral:lncRNA from 1 species
UAAAAACGAGCUUUGCAUCCAAAACUCUGUGUCAAGCCACAUAUUUUAACCCCACCAGGAGAGAGAGGGAAGGAAGGGGAGUUUGGUCUGCAAGCUGCCAGCUUAGCCCACUUCUCCAUCACUUUUUUUUUUUUUUUUCCAGAGCUCCAUUUCUUCAAUCAGCCUUUAUUAAGAGCAUAGGUUUGAGUGUAUAGGAACAAAUUCUUCUGGCUCUUUAAGGAACAUAUUGGAAGGGGGGUUUUAUUAGGCUGCAUUGCUGGAUAAGUGAUACAACAUGCUUUCCAGCAUGAAUCAUCUGAGUGGAGUGACAAAAAAGAAGCCUGAAAACUAAGCACAGCCAAAAUAUUGGCAGGCCUCAGCCACUCGGGCCAGAUUUCAGAUUUCGUCUCCUUUAGACCAAAAAAAAAGUAUAUAUAUAUUAAAUUAAAUUUUAAUCUCCUGGUGACAAUUCCCACGGAGGAGGGCUGAAGUAUUUUGUCUACAUCCCUCCUGCCCCCUUGGAGUCCCAGACUCCCCGCGAUCAGAGAUGGAGGAGCCCCCCAAGGGUCACCUCGGCCGGCCCCGCGUUUGCUCCCGUGCCCAGGCAGCGCCCCUGCCGCGAGCUCGCUGAGCGGAGGACCGGCUCGGCUUUAUUAGCAACACAUGCGGGGCCCACCGCGCACCCUGACAGCCGGCAGCUCCGCGCCAGAAUGGAUGGCUCGGAGGCUGCGAGGCCGCGGUUACAAAGGCGCCGCGCCGUUCUCAGGUGGACAAACGCGGGCCCGGGCGGCGGGCUCCGGUUCCCAGGCGCGGGGGCGGCGGCCCCUUCAAGUCGGGCGCGGGCGGGAGCGGAACCCGUGUUAAUUACUGUACGUUUCCACUGUAAAGAGAGUCAGCCGGGGAGCGGGGCCGCCGCGCCCGCCCGGCCCCGACGCACAAAGGCUUCAUAUAUUCUGAAUGAAGGCGAAUCGCAGCCUCGGCCUCCGUGAAAAGAGCCGUGAGGGAGACUUAAUUCUCUCCCUUUCAGCUGUGCUCAGACUGUGAAAUCCACACAAUCGCGCCCUUCUCUUUAGAGGGAGGGAGGAGAGGGGCCGCGGUCGCGCGCCGCGCCGUUAGCCGGGCGCGCACAGGGAGAGUUCACUCCGGGGACAAGGGCGGCCGGCCCGGGGCUGGUUGGCAGCAGGGUUUCCCAUCCGACCGGGCGGCGGCAGCCCCUUUCUCCCGCUGCAUUUCACGGCGCCUUUUGUUGGCUCGCGCAGACCAGGGUCGGGCCUGUCAGGUGCGGACGCCGUCGUCCCUGCCCGCCUGGAGAUGUGUCCCCCCCGGCGGGCCGGGCCCACUCCCAGGGCGACGGGCCGUGGGCGGAGAUGUCCUCAGGCAUCUCGAGGGACCUGGCCACACCCGGUUUGUGAGGCUCCCCCGAUAAUUAAAACAAGAAGAGAAGACGAAGUGCAGAACCCAAGUAAAAUAUAUUACAGUACAUUUAAAAUAUUGGCGUUGACAAUUUGAUGUUUUUAAAAAAGAUCUGUUCUUCUUAAAAAAAAAUAAGCACAAUGCAUACGAAUCACAAGAUGAUUACAAGAUUCAGAAAAAAAUGUAUCUAUAUAUUAAUGAGCAAGCCGGACCCAGGUUCGAAGCUGGGAGAUAAACCGCAUCUCUUUUCAGUACCUCUGCAACUGAGUGUGUAACCUCAUUUGGAGAGAAGAUCUCAAGGGUAAAAUGGGUCUCUGCACAAACGUCUCGCAGCCCCCGCUCUGGUCCCCCAGGUUCGGGCCUCGUGAUGGUUCUCUGUAACUGCUCCAGCUCUCGGAGUCCGGCAUUGUAACGGCUGGCACCAUCUCAGCAGGUGCCCGGUUUCUGGGCUAGUCCCUCGUUCCCUCUUUGCCUCCCCUUCAGCUGGCAAAACUGGGCACAGAAUAGGGUGACCCUAGAGCCACCUGGGGGCCUGACUGUUUCCUUAUACCUGGGGGGAAGGGAACACACCAUUUAUAGCUUGCUUUUAGGGAGUUAGGGGCAAAGGUGCACCCAUCCUCCCAAAGGAGUCUCCCGCUCAGUACCCAUUCCCCGCCUUGGAAGAAGGGGACAAGCGUUUAUCAAUGACACCUGUUAUUCUUGCUUGGGUACCUGCUAUGUGCCAGGCACUGUGCUAGGCUCUUAGCAUGGAUUGUCAUUUAAUUCUUACAAACCCCCCAGGAGCCCAGGAGAUGCUGAGAUGUUUCCAUAUCUGGCCUUGGCAGGCAACUCUAGUUUCUGUUGAAGUCUGUACAGAUGUGCCCUGAUGGAUUUGCGCGUUUCCCACUGGUGGAUGUUUAGGCUGUUUUCAGAUUUUCACUGUCUACGACAACGCUGCAGUAAACAUUCUUGUGUAGGCGUGAUUGCCCAAAUUGCAAACACCAGUAAUUCAUAGAAUCAAUCCUGGGGUUCCAAGGCACUUCUUCGGGGAAGAAAAAGAAAACUAAACUGUGGGACAUCUAAGGGACCUUGAGGACUCUUCAAGGAGCCCUUUUUGAAACCCCCAGUGGGUAUUGCAGGAAAAAGGCCCUCCUUGGAGAAGUGGCUGCGCAUCCCCAUGGCGCCCAGCCCUGCGUGGAUUUCCGUGCGGCUUGCAGCACUUACUCUGAGGAAAGCCAUGUCAGCAGCUGCCUUCUGGAGAAUCCACCUGGCGAGGAACUCCAGCCUCCUGCCAACAGCCACGUGAGUGAGCUUGGAAGCACGUCCUGCAGCCCCGGUCCAAGAACUGAGUGCAGCCCCGGCCAAUAGCUUGACUGCAGUCCGACAAGAGACCUUGAGCCAAGCCACUCUGCAUUCUUGACCCUCAGAAACUGUAUGAGAUAUUAAUGCGGUUUUAAGCUGCUAAGUUUUGGGGUAAUUUGUUACACAGCAGUUGAUAACUAUUGAACACAAGACAUGUGAACAGACUGCCUACAGAUAUAGAAAUGUAUUCUGGAAACACUGAGGCUUCCUGCCCACAUGUAUGUAUACACACAGUAUACUUCCUUAUACCCCAGAUGCUUCCUUAUUGAUCUAAUACUGAAAAAAGAAUGAAGUAUGACAUUUUAUGUUCGUUACUGCUCUUUCGAUAGGUGGAAUGUAAAAAGGUGAGAUGCGUUGCUUGUAUUAACACAAUUGGAGACACUGGCACUGCCGUCAUGCCCAGGCUGUCCAGCAGACGUCACUUUAUUCCGUGGUGCAUUCCCAGAACAUUGCAUGGGUGAAUAACGACUUUUUGUAAAUUGAAUCAGGCUUAAAGUUCCCUAGUGUUGCUGGCUAAAGGAAGCCUCGAGUGAGCUCUUUUGUACCCGAAUAAAUUUGGUAAAAUAAAGAGACAGUUCCUAAUUUG